rnacentral:rRNA from 1 species
AGAGUUUGAUCCUGGCUCAGGAUGAACGCUGGCGGCGUGCUUAACACAUGCAAGUCGAACGCACCUUCGGGUGAGUGGCGGACGGGUGAGUAACGCGUGAGAAUCUGCCCUCAGGAGGGGGAUAACGGCUGGAAACGGCCGCUAAUACCCCAUAUGCCGCGAGGUGAAACGAGUUUUCGCCUGAGGAUGAGCUCGCGUCUGAUUAGCUAGUUGGUGGGGUAAGAGCCUACCAAGGCAUCGAUCAGUAGCUGGUCUGAGAGGAUGAUCAGCCACACUGGGACUGAGACACGGCCCAGACUCCUACGGGAGGCAGCAGUGGGGAAUUUUCCGCAAUGGGCGAAAGCCUGACGGAGCAACGCCGCGUGAGGGAUGAAGGCCUCUGGGCUGUAAACCUCUUUUCUCAAGGAAGAAGAUCUGACGGUACUUGAGGAAUAAGCCACGGCUAAUUCCGUGCCAGCAGCCGCGGUAAUACGGGAGUGGCAAGCGUUAUCCGGAAUUAUUGGGCGUAAAGCGUCCGCAGGCGGUCUUGAAAGUCUGUUGUUAAAGCGUGGAGCUUAACUCCAUUUCAGCAAUGGAAACUAGAAGACUAGAGUGUGGUAGGGGCAGAGGGAAUUCCCGGUGUAGCGGUGAAAUGCGUAGAUAUCGGGAAGAACACCAGUGGCGAAGGCGCUCUGCUGGGCCAUAACUGACGCUCAUGGACGAAAGCCAGGGGAGCGAAAGGGAUUAGAUACCCCUGUAGUCCUGGCCGUAAACGAUGAACACUAGGUGUCGGGGGAAUCGACCCCCUCGGUGUCGUAGCCAACGCGUUAAGUGUUCCGCCUGGGGAGUACGCACGCAAGUGUGAAACUCAAAGGAAUUGACGGGGGCCCGCACAAGCGGUGGAGUAUGUGGUUUAAUUCGAUGCAACGCGAAGAACCUUACCAGGGUUUGACAUCCUGCGAAUCCCUUGGAAACGAGGGAGUGCCUUCGGGAGCGCAGAGACAGGUGGUGCAUGGCUGUCGUCAGCUCGUGUCGUGAGAUGUUGGGUUAAGUCCCGCAACGAGCGCAACCCACGUCUUUAGUUGCCAGCAUUCAGUUGGGCACUCUAGAGAGACCGCCGGUGAUAAACCGGAGGAAGGUGUGGAUGACGUCAAGUCAUCAUGCCCCUUACAUCCUGGGCUACACACGUACUACAAUGCUACGGACAAAGGGCAGCAAACUCGCGAGAGCUAGCAAAUCCCAUAAACCGUGGCUCAGUUCAGAUCGUAGGCUGCAACUCGCCUACGUGAAGGAGGAAUCGCUAGUAAUCGCAGGUCAGCAUACUGCGGUGAGUACGUUCCCGGGCCUUGUACACACCGCCCGUCACACCAUGGAAGUUGGCCACGCCCGAAGUCGUUACUCCAACCCUUGUGGAGGAGGACGCCGAAGGUGGGGCUGAUGACUGGGGUGAAGUCGUAACAAGGUA